rnacentral:rRNA from 1 species
UACGGGGGGGGCAAGCGUUGUUCGGAAUUACUGGGCGUAAAGGGCUUGUAGGCGGCCAACUAAGUCCGACGUGAAAUCCCCAGGCUUAACCUGGGAACUGCGUCGGAUACUGGAUGGCUUGAAUUCGGGAGAGGGAUGCAGAAUUCCAGGUGUAGCGGUGAAAUGCGUAGAUAUCGUUUGGAACGCCAAUGGUGAAAACAGGUAACUGGGAGUGUGCCGACGCUGAGACACGAAAGCCAGGGGAGCGAACGGG